ACAAUUCCGUGUCCUACUUUCUGAGCAUAUCCUGGCUGGUCCCUGCAGGGAAAUUAAGCCUUCUUAAGGGGUUGGAGCAAUCAAAAAGCAGCUGCAGGACAGAAAAGUGAGGGUGUGAACUGUCAGUGGUUCUCUCCUGUUUUCAGAAGCACUGACAGGAUUUUGACGAGACAAACGGGUGGUUAGAGUGUCUGCAGCGAUGGGGCUAGAAAGCAGCCUGUGUGUCUGCAACAUGAGAGGGAAGUUUUAUGGCUGGAGGACUGUGUGUUUAUGUGACCCUGGGGGUAGUUCUUCAUCAUUAAUCAUGUAGCAGUGUCAAAAAUGUACAUGUUACAACUUGAACGUGCAGAAAAGAGUUGCUGUCUAUUUUUCAGUAACUGAGCUCACACUGGAGCACCCACUCUCACCAAUGGUGGAAGAAACAUUUAAACAAGGGUAAUUAAGGAAAAUGGGCUCCUCUGAAAUGAAGCAGUUUCACUUCAGGUAUACAGUCUCAGCAGUACGACAUAUCAGGGACGCUAACUUCUACCAGCCAAGAAGCAAGCAAAUGACACAAGAUUAGCUGGUCAUACUCCCUCUCCUAGGACUGUGAAUCCUUAGUAGAGUGAGACGAGGAUAGGAAAAUUAACUGGAAUACAUCUAUAUCAACAGUGGCACCCUGAUGGCACUGCCAAGUAGUUCCUGCUGCCCACACACGCAGAGUGUUUCUGGUUUCUCACUUGUCAUUUUUCCAAGCCAAGUUCUCCAAUAUCCUACCCAUUCUAUGAGCUACUCAACAUUACCCCCAAUACAUUACUUUCCUG
rnacentral:lncRNA from 1 species